CGGACGGGUGAGUAAUACAUCGGAACGUGUCCUAAAGUGGGGGAUAACGCAUCGAAAGAUGUGCUAAUACCGCAUAAUCUCUGAGGAGAAAAGUAGGGGAUCGAAAGACCUUAUGCUUUUGGAGCGGCUGAUGUCUGAUUAGCUAGUUGGUAAGGUAAUGGCUUACCAAGGCGACGAUCAGUAGUUGGUCUGAGAGGACGACCAGCCACACUGGGACUGAGACACGGCCCAGACUCCUACGGGAGGCAGCAGUGGGGAAUUUUGGACAAUGGGCGCAAGCCUGAUCCAGCAAUGCCGCGUGAGUGAAGAAGGCCUUCGGGUUGUAAAGCUCUUUCAGUUGAAAAGAAAAAGUCGUGACUAAUAAUCAUGGCUCAUGACGGUAUCAACAGAAGAAGCACCGGCUAACUACGUGCCAGCAGCCGCGGUAAUACGUAGGGUGCAAGCGUUAAUCGGAAUUACUGGGCGUAAAGGGUGCGCAGGCGGUUCUGUAAGUCAGAUGUGAAAUCCCCGGGCUUAACCUGGGAACUGCGUUUGAAACUGCAGAGCUAGAGUGCGGCAGAGGGAGGUGGAAUUCCAUGUGUAGCAGUGAAAUGCGUAGAGAUAUGGAAGAACAUCGAUGGCGAAGGCAACCUCCUGGGCUAGCACUGACGCUCAUGCACGAAAGCGUGGGGAGCAAACAGGNNNAGAUACCCUGGUAGUCCACGCCCUAAACUAUGUCAACUAGUUGUC
rnacentral:rRNA from 1 species